UACAGAGGGGGCAAGCGUUAUUCGGAGUUAUUGGGCGUAAAGGGCGCGUAGGCGGCUUUUCAAGUGACGGGUGAAAUCCCUCGGCUUAACCGAGGAACUGCCUGUCAGACUGGAAGGCUUGAGACCGGGAGAGGUGAGUGGAAUUCCCAGUGUAGCGGUGAAAUGCGUAGAUAUUGGGAGGAACACCAGCGGCGAAGGCGGCUCACUGGACCGGAACUGACGCUGAGGCGCGAAAGCGUGGGGAGCAAACAGG
rnacentral:rRNA from 1 species